rnacentral:tRNA from 1 species
AGGCCUGUAGCUCAGCCUGGCUAGAGCACCGGUCUCCAAAACCGGGUGUCGGGGGUUCGAAUCCCUCCAGGCCUGCCA